rnacentral:rRNA from 1 species
AUUGAACGCUGGCGGCAGGCUUAACACAUGCAAGUCGAGCGGAGUGAUGGUGCUUGCACUAUCACUUAGCGGCGGACGGGUGAGUAAUGCUUAGGAAUCUGCCUAUUAGUGGGGGACAACAUCUCGAAAGGGAUGCUAAUACCGCAUACGUCCUACGAGAGAAAGCAGGGGAUCACUUGUGACCUUGCGCUAAUAGAUGAGCCUAAGUCGGAUUAGCUAGUUGGUGGGGUAAAGGCCUACCAAGGCGACGAUCUGUAGCGGGUCUGAGAGGAUGAUCCGCCACACUGGGACUGAGACACGGCCCAGACUCCUACGGGAGGCAGCAGUGGGGAAUAUUGGACAAUGGGGGGAACCCUGAUCCAGCCAUGCCGCGUGUGUGAAGAAGGCCUUAUGGUUGUAAAGCACUUUAAGCGAGGAGGAGGCUUACCUAGUUAAUACCUGGGAUAAGUGGACGUUACUCGCAGAACAAGCACCGGCUAACUCUGUGCCAGCAGCCGCCGUAA